rnacentral:misc_RNA from 1 species
AUAUAUCUACCUCUCUGGGGGUUCCCGAAAUUGAAGGAUUUCUUGCUAGGGACCCCUUAGAGGGGCAAUAAAGCCAGCGUCUUUCUGAUAUUAGCAUCUUUGUUACACCUAGUAAGUGUUUGGACAGCAAUAGUAACAGUUAUUUGCUUUUCUGCAGUAUCCGGGUGAUUCUCAGUUCAGCAACAUCUUUUAGGAACGAACAGUGUCCCCUCGAACUUGUACUUGAAGACAUAGAAAAGAAUAUUAAAUUGGUGCGUAUCGAUAUGGCGUCGUUGAUUUCCAUAGUGUUAUCUGUUGUGUUUUUAACUUAAAAAGUGAAAGGCUGAUUUAUCAAAAUAUUGACGGCGUAUCCGAAAAAAUAUCACAGAAGCGACUUUUGCUGAAUGAUCCUAGUGCCCUCCUCUCCCGAAUAGAGGACGUGGAGAGGAAAAUGCUGGCGAUGGAUACACAAAUGACUCAGCUUAAGAGUCAACUGGACAACGGAUUGCUAUCUCAUCACAAAUCUGGUUGAAUGUGUAUCCGAAAAGGUUUCAACAAAACGACUUUUGCUGACUGACCCUAAUGCCCUCCUCUCUCGAAUGGAAGAUAUGGAUAGGAAAAUGCUGGCGAUGAAUGCACAAAUUACUGACCUGAAGAGUCAACUGGACAGCGUUAUGAAAUCUCAUCAUAAAUCUUGAGCUGUGUACACUCGUUGGGGUAGAGCGACUUGUCCGGAGGUAAAUGGAACCACUAUUUUGUACAGUGGCAUUGCCGCAGGAAGAAACUACAAUGAUCAAGGAGAUGGAAUUAACACAUUGUGCAUGCCGCAUAACCCUGAUUCCGCUCCCUUAGAUCUACCAGUUGCGCCAAACCAAUACCAUUUUGGUCGAAUAUACGGGUCUGAGUAUGAAUUUUCGUAAAAAAAAACAGCUUAUAAUGACGAUGUACCAUGUGCUGUUUGCUACGAUAUCUAUGCAUCUACUUCUGUGAUGAUCCCUGGAAAAACUCUCUGUCCUUGUCACUGGACCAUUCAGUUCGACGGCUUCUUAACAUCAGACGCUCACCACUCCGGCCACCCUGGAGCAGAGUAUUUAUGUAUGGAUAGCAAUCCAGAGUACGCAACAGAGGCCGCUAGACAGCAAGACUACAAUGGCCGUGUGUUUUACCCCGUGGAGGCAGUCUGUGGGUCGCUUCCGUGCCCACCUUAUGAAAAUGGCAAAUACGUCUCGUGUGUUGUUUGUACCAAGUGAACAUCGAAUGGUUCACACCAGAAAGACAGAAAAAAAAGCUGUGUGUUUUACGUGAAACUAUCACCAGCUAAGAAUUUUGUAGAGUAAGGAUAAAUAAAGAACUAAAUAUUUCUUGUCCUAAAUGACAAAUGGAAAAUACUAAGCUGCAUGUCACAAAGCUAAAGUCAAAAUCGCAUAUCUAUUAAACCUCUUGUAAUAAUCAUCAACUUUUUCAAUUUUCAAUUCAAAACUUUCUCAUUCUUUUUAAACUAUAUAAUAUUUAUCGAAACAUUUUUCAAUUUCUAUAAAAAAUAUAAUUUGCUGAAACAUUUGAUUAAUAGUCAAUAAUAAACAUUUAUAAUAUAACUAAGACUAGUUUAUCAUAGAAUUUUAUCAGUUUUGAUGAAAUUUUCAAUAAAGACUUACGUUAGAUAAUUGU